rnacentral:rRNA from 1 species
CCUACGGGAGGCAGCAGUGGGGAAUAUUGGGCAAUGGAGGAAACUCUGACCCAGCGACGCCGCGUGCGGGAUGAAGGCCUUCGGGUUGUAAACCGCUUUCAGCAGGGAAGAAGCGAAAGUGACGGUACCUGCAGAAGAAGCACCGGCUAACUAUGUGCCAGCAGCCGCGGUAAUACAUAGGGUGCAAGCGUUGUCCGGAAUUAUUGGGCGUAAAGAGCUCGUAGGUGGUUCGUCACGUCGGAUGUGAAAAUCUGGGGCUUAACCCCAGACCUGCAUUCGAUACGGGCGAGCUUGAGUAUGGUAGGGGAGUCUGGAAUUCCUGGUGUAGCGGUGGAAUGCGCAGAUAUCAGGAGGAACACCAAUGGCGAAGGCAGGACUCUGGGCCAUUACUGACACUGAGGAGCGAAAGCGUGGGGAGCGAACAGGAUUAGAUACCCUGGUAGUCCACGCCGUAAACGGUGGGCACUAGUUGUGGGGACCUUCCACGGUCUCUGCGACGCAGCUACGCAUAGUCGCCCGCCGUCGGGAGGUACGAGUCGCGAAGAAGUUAAACUAACAAAGUAGUAAGUUAGUACGGCGUGAGACGUGCCGACGGACGACGACGAGGGAGGAGG